UGCGCAGGUGGUUUGGCAAGUUUGACGUGAAAGCCCCGGGCUUAACCCGGGAAUGGCGUUGAAAACUGCUUGAACUGGAGGGUUGGAGGGGGGACUGGAAUUCUUGGUGUAGCAGUGAAAUGCGUAGAUAUCAAGAGGAACACCAGUGGCGAAGGCGAGUCCCUGGACAAACCCUGACACUGAGGCACGAAAGCCAAGGGAGCAAACA
rnacentral:rRNA from 1 species